rnacentral:lncRNA from 1 species
UGAAGACAAAUAUGUUAUAAGGCUCUGUUUACGAACUAUUUUCCAUGAAACAAACAUAUUUUAAAAGUACCAUGAAGACCCUGUACCAGAAGUCAGAUUGCAAUUUGCCCCAUCUACAAAAGAUGGGCAAAUUAGUCCACCAUUAAAGAGUAAAUUGAUAAUUUCUAUUAAAAAUUUCAUUCAUUUGUAUUGUUAAAAACUGAUGAGUGAAUAGAAUAAUAUGACUGAAUAGAAUAACCCAACAAUGACAUGUGUAUUGACCUACAUGAACCAAUUUUUACCAGUAGAAAUGAAUGAAAUUUUUAAGAGCAUCUAGUUAGUUCUUUAAUUUAAUGUAAAUGACUAAUUUAACUAUUCUUUUUUAGUAGAAGAACAAAAUGUAAUCUGACUCCUAGUGAUUGAUCUCUAUGCUUCUAAUUUACCUUUUUCGUAAAAAAAGCACCAAUGCAACAAAAAUUCCCCAAAUUAUUCCAACUAAAAACAUUUUUUAUACUACAAAUGGCAAUAACCCAAUUGUUCAAAUUUUAAUCCCUGAUCAUGGAAGAGACCAACAAACAAAAGGUAAAUGAUGAUUCUAAAUAUACAAUUUAUAUUAAAAAUGAAAGGAAAUAAGAUUAACUAACACGAUAAACCCUAAAAAUAAAACAAACUCAGAUUUAAUUUCACGGAAAUUAUAAUUUAAGUCAAAAUCACAGCCAAUUGAAAAUUAAAUAAGAAAAUAGAUUAAAGAAUAAAAUAAGAACAGCACCAGAACUUGAACAUAGCUCGAGCAGGGAGGCUCCUUGAUCGUCGGAUAAUCAAAAAAUGAACCCAAUCGAUAGAGUAAAAAAAGAAGAAAACAAAUGCUUUUGAUUGAGUUGAAUCUUCCACGGAGAAGAAAAGAUGCACUGUCUUGUUUUUAUAUAGUUUUA